UACGAAGGGUGCAAGCGUUACUCGGAAUUACUGGGCGUAAAGCGUGCGUAGGUGGUUUGUUAAGUCUGUUGUGAAGCCCCGGGCUCAACCUGGGAAUGGCAAUGGAUACUGGCAAGCUAGAGUGCGGUAGAGGGUAGUGGAAUUCCCGGUGUAGGCGGGUGAAAUGCGUAGAGAUCGGGAGGAACACCAGUGGCGAAGGCGGGCUACCU
rnacentral:rRNA from 1 species